AAGUCGUCACCACCACCACCUUGCUAGUCACCACUACACCUUAUCCAUCUUCCUAGCCGAAAACCAAAACCCACCAUUUUCUGUCCUAAGUAAAUUUGAAGUAUUUCACAUUUCUUUUAACACUUUCAGACCAGUAAUGGAACUCUCCUCUUCUUUCUCUCAAUUACCAAAAAUAUCUGACAUCUCCUUCUCAUCUUCUUGUGCUCCUUUCCCCCUUCAAAUCAGAUACCUUAAACCCCACCACAAAACCCUACAAAAUCUUGGUGUUUUUGCAGUCGCUAUAGACCCACAAGAACUCCCUAAAAACAGCCCUCAAAGACUUCUUAAAGAACUAGCAGAACGCAAGAAAACCACAUCCCCAAAGAGAAGAAUACCCCCCAAAAGAUUCAUACUUAAACCCCCACUCGAUGAUAAAAGACUCGCACAGAGGUUUUUGAAUAGCCCUCAACUGUCCCUCAAACAAUUUCCAUUAUUGAGUUCUUGUUUGCCUUCUUCAAGGCUGAACAAUGCUGAUCAAACUUGGAUUGAUGAGUAUUUGUUAGAAGCCAAACAAGCUUUGGGGUACCCUUUAGAGCCAAGUGAUAGAUUUGGGGAUGAUAAUCCUGCUAAACAAUUUGAUACUUUGUUGUAUUUGGCAUUUCAGCAUCCGAGUUGCGAACGGACUAAUGCCAGGCAUGUGAGAUCAGGGCAUUCAAGGUUGUGCUUCUUGGGGCAGUAUGUUUUGGAAUUGGCUUUCGCUGAGUAUUUCUUGCAGAGAUAUCCUAGGGAGUCUCCUGCUCCUUUGAGGGAAAGAGUUUUUGGGUUGAUUGGGAAGAGGAAUUUGCCCAAAUGGAUUAAAGCUGCCAGUUUGCACAACUUGAUUUUUCCUUAUGAUAAUAUGGAUAAGUUGCAGAGGAAGGAGCGAGAACCGCCAGUUAAGUCUGUGUUCUGGGCUGUGUUUGGGGCAAUAUACUUGUGUUUUGGCAUGCCAGAAGUAUAUCGUGUUCUUUUUGAAGUAUUUGAGAUGGACCCAGAAGCAGAGGACUGCCAGCCAAAAUUAAGGAGGCAAUUUGAAGAUGUAGAUUAUGUUUCUGUUGAAUUUGAAGGCAAGCAGCUCAGUUGGCAAGAUGUUGCUGCUUUGCAGCCUCCUGAAGAUGCUCUCUUUGCACACCCUAGGCUUUUCAGGGCUUGUGUCCCACCAGGCAUGCACCGAUUCCGAGGAAAUAUAUGGGAUUAUGAAAGCAGACCCCAUGUUAUGCGAACAUUGGGCUAUCCCCUAACAAUGAGAGACAGAAUUCCAGACAUAACUAAAGCUAGGAAUAUCGAACUUGGACUUGGGUUACAGCUCUGUUUCCUGCACCCAUCAAACUACAAAUUUGAGCACCCUCGAUUUUGUUAUGAGCGAUUAGAAUAUGUUGGCCAAAAGAUCCAGGAUAUUGUCAUGGCCGAGAGAUUACUGAUGAAGCAUCUGGAUGCUCCUGGAAAGUGGCUACAGGAGAAGCACCGCCGUGUUCUCAUGAACAAGUUCUGUGGAAGGUACUUGAGAGAGAAGCAUCUCCAUAAAUAUAUCACCUAUGCUGACAAGGUUCAAGAUGCAUACGAGCACAAUAGAAGACUAAGAAACCCUUCGACAACUGCUGUUAACCAUUCCCUUCACGGGCUUUCAUACACUAUAUAUGGGAAACCAGACGUGAGGCGCCUCAUGUUUGACGUUUUUGAUUUUGAGCAAACUCAACCAAAACUUGUAUGAAGAUUCAAUGAAAAUAAUUUCGUUUUCGUUUCCUUUAGCCUCUGAAAUACAAGUGGAUUAAAGGUUGGCUGGUAGUGGUGAACGUCGCUCAGAUAUUUGACAGAAUUUUUGACACGAAUUAUACACUCACCAUGCAUUAUGCAAAGUUUUAAAUUUGGGCGAACUACAUUUUUGCUCCUAUAAACUAUAAAGUAUGAAGUCAUCAAUAUUCCACUUCCCUUCCAAUAAUUUAAAAUCUCUUGAUAUUA